rnacentral:misc_RNA from 1 species
UCCACAAAAUAGAAGAGUGCUGACUAUUUUAUUCCCUUCAUAUGAACUAUUCAGGACUAUUCCACCAUGGAACGCGACUAUUGAAUGUAUUUUUAAAUAACCUUUAACGUUACAACCAUACUCUAUUUAGAAUUAUCAGAGUAUAUGUAUACAAUUAUUUCUAUUCGAGAACUCGGAUCGAAAAUUUAGACCGACUUAACAUCGUGGACACAAGGCUUAAAGCAUACGCAAGCACACGGUCUCGAGCUUGUGAGUGAUUCAGAAUUGCAGAAGUGUGUAUCACAAAAUGCUGAAAACAUUCACGUGCCUCCAAUGCAAUUCAACCUUCGAUCGUGCUUCACAAUUGGAUUAUCAUCAUCGGAGUUUACAUCUAGGAGAAAGAUCCCAAAUAUGUCAGAUAUGUGGAAAGGGUUUCUUUCGCAAAGCAGAUUUGCGCACUCAUUUAAACAUUCAUUUAGGAACAAAUUUUUAUAUUUGUGAGAUCUGUGGGAGGAAGUUUAGUCAUAUAUCGAAUCUUAUAAGACACUGUAGAAUGCAUACAGGAAUUAAACCGUAUUCAUGUUCAAUUUGUGAUAAGAAUUUCACACAAAUGUCUUCAUUAGCAAGGCACAAACAAAUGAUACAUGGAAUAUCAAAGGAAGUCAUGCAGUAUUAUAAUCCUAGUCUUAUCAGCGAUAAACCACAAAUCAACAGUCGUGGAUUGAAAGAAAACAAGACAAUAGAUAAUAAUAUAAGAAAUAGAAUUCAUGAAACAUCUUAUAUAAAACCAAAAUAUAUUAGCCAGAGUACUACUAGAGAUUCAGAUGCAAAAAGUGAGAUGAUUUCCGAUCAACGCAACAUUGAUAUGGGCAGCAAAGCGUGUUUAUUCGAGACUAUUAUUUAUGUCACGUCUAAGCAGUUUGGUGAAAGUAAUUUAGCCGAAAAUGAGAGUACAAAUCGAUUACCGCAAGAUCAUUUUGUCAAGAUUGAGGAAAGACUUGGAUCUACUAACUUGUCGAUGAAUAAUACUAUUUCAAAUUCUUCUCAAGAUAUAGUUAAUAAUCAUGAACAAAUACCAUUUAAAGACAGUAUAACUUAUUUACAUCAAUUAGAUAAGAAUAAUUUUACCGUCCUAUCUCAAGAUAGAGAAUCUAAUACUGAAUCAGAAAUUCAAAAUAAUGAAUACAUUGUGAGAUCAAGCGAUUCAGAUAUAUAUAUAUCCCGAGGAACUUAUAAAGAAUCUUCCAUAAAUAACAUAAAAAAUUCAUUAAAUAUAGAAACAAAUUUUCCUAUUUAUAAUUCCAAUGAAGUUUUGAUGGAUCAAAAAUUUCUGCAUAAACAAAUAAACAAAGGAAUUAUUAGUGAAAAUAAAAAAUGUAAUAAACCAUUAAAUGAUGAUGACAAUCAAUUGUAUAUAGAACUCUCUAAUUCAGGAAUGUUAAAAUUUGAUGAGCCUAGAUACUGUAAUAAUAUCAGCUUAACCAGUCUGAAUUUUAAUCAUUCCAUGAAGUCCUAUCAUUCUGAAAACAAUGCUGCUAAUGAAAUAAUAUGUGCUUCGAAAUCCGCUAUGCAGAAUCAGGAAGGCUUGUCACGCAAUGAAGAAAAUUUAGAAAAUUUUAGUAAUGCCAAUAAUACCAUAUUAAAUAAUGAAGAACCAAUGUUGCAUUUAGUACAAACCGAAACUGGUGAGCAAUUUUAUGAAUUUAUAAUAAGCAACUUGGUAGAAAAAAUGCAGGAUACUUCGUGCACAAAAGAUGCGGAAGAUACAAUAGGAUAUCCUUCAAAUAUUUGUAAAGACAGUCAAAAAAUCAAUUCAAAUCUAAAAGGAAGUGAGAAAGUCGAUCAAAUAGAGCAUCAACAAGCUCUGGAUGAUCUUGUUGAUAUAAAUAACGAAUUUAAUUGUACACAAUUGGAUUUUUAUAGAGAGGAAAAAAAUUAUGCUAUCUUAAGUCAUGACGUAUCUGAACAUUUCAAACAAAAUUCAAAAGAAAAUGAAUGUGUAAAUAAUAUGCAAAAGAAAAAUCAGAUCCACAAUUCUGGGAACUUGGAAUUACUGGAAAAUGAAACACAUGUAGAUUUUGAUAAAUACGUCGAAAUUAAUCUUGAAGCAUUUGAAAGAUUGAAUUAUGAAAAUUGUAAUGAAAAAUUUUUGGAAUUUGUGGAGGUUGCUGAUAUUGGCAUAGAAUCCUCAGGAUACAAAGAACUUUCGAUGGUACGUUUGAUUCAAAAUGAUGGUGAACAGCUGUUAGAACUAUUGCAAGAUUCUCAAGCUGAGCAAGAAGCAAAUCAAGAUUUCAUACAAGCUAAUAAUUUUAAAGACUGUUCAAACAUUUUGCAAAAUAGUAAUAAAAGAACUGAUUGUCCUAAAAAUAAAUCAGACUUCUUCGCAUGUAUCGAGGAUAAUGUACCAUUAUCUUCGAUACAAGAAGAAAAUAUGAAUAACAACCGAGGUAUAAAUAAUAUUAAAGAAUAUACAGACAAUAGCAACCAUAUGCCUACAGAUGUAACGACUACUAAAAGUGCAAGUACUAAAAACAUUAGAACAUCAGAAGAAUUGAAAAAAUCAAAAAUAAUUUCAAGAAAGUUCCAAUGCUUAGUAUGCAAAAAGGCAUUUUCAACAACAUAUAAUUAUAAACAACACAUUGGAAUACAUUUUACCGAUCAGCAAAAAUUUCAUUGUAAAGAUUGUGGAGUGUCCUUCGCUUGGAAAUCUACUUUGAACAAACAUAUCGCAAACAAUCAUACCUCAGAUGGUCCGCAAAAGUUUGUUUGUGAGAUUUGUCCGAAAGUCUAUAGCACCUUAUCACAAGUAAACGAGCAUGUAAAAAGGGAUCAUUUAAAGCAGCGGAAUCAUAUUUGUCUGCACUGCGGCAAGUCUUUCUUUAAAAGAUUCGACCUGAAGACUCACAGUAGAACGCAUACGAACGAACGUCCGUAUGUAUGUCGUGUUUGCGGCAAAAGAUUUCAUCAUCAGAGCCAUAUUAUUCGUCACGAGCGUACGCAUUCAGACGAACGACCAUAUGUGUGCGAUAUUUGUCAAAGAACUUUUACACAGCCCAGUUCGCUAAAAGCACAUAAGCAGAAGCAUCAGCAAAUUCGGAUGGAUUUUUUGGAUUACCAGAUCGAUGAAGACGAUCCUAUUGCAUUAGCGACACUAUGAGACAUGGAUAUGAUACUUAUGAAAUAAAUAUAAAAGGCGGUAUGUUUCAUUUGGAGUGGAAAAAAGUAGUGGAUAUAUACGGGAUGAUCCAGAACAACUCGGAUGGCCUUGAAAAGACGUAUUCCUGACUUAAUUGAUUAUCGAAAUUAUCAAUCUUCUAUUAUUGGAAUGAAUAUAUGGUUACUGGAUUGGAAGUCGCUAUGAAUUUUAUG